rnacentral:rRNA from 1 species
GGUCUGGUGGCGAGUGGCGAACGGGUGAGUAAUGUAUCGGAACGUGCCCAGUAGCGGGGGAUAACUACGCGAAAGCGUAGCUAAUACCGCAUACGCCCUACGGGGGAAAGCAGGGGAUCGCAAGACCUUGCACUAUUGGAGCGGCCGAUAUCGGAUUAGCUAGUUGGUGGGGUAACGGCUCACCAAGGCGACGAUCCGUAGCUGGUUUGAGAGGACGACCAGCCACACUGGGACUGAGACACGGCCCAGACUCCUACGGGAGGCAGCAGUGGGGAAUUUUGGACAAUGGGGGAAACCCUGAUCCAGCCAUCCCGCGUGUGCGAUGAAGGCCUUCGGGUUGUAAAGCACUUUUGGCAGGAAAGAAACGUCAUGGGUUAAUACCCCGUGAAACUGACGGUACCUGCAGAAUAAGCACCGGCUAACUACGUGCCAGCAGCCGCGGUAAUACGUAGGGUGCAAGCGUUAAUCGGAAUUACUGGGCGUAAAGCGUGCGCAGGCGGUUCGGAAAGAAAGAUGUGAAAUCCCAGAGCUUAACUUUGGAACUGCAUUUUUAACUACCGGGCUAGAGUGUGUCAGAGGGAGGUGGAAUUCCGCGUGUAG